rnacentral:rRNA from 1 species
UACAGAGGUCUCGAGCGUUGUUCGGAUUCAUUGGGCGUAAAGGGUGCGUAGGCGGCGGAGCAAGUCUGAUGUGAAAUCCCGGGGCUCAACCCCGGAACUGCAUUGGAUACUGCUUUGCUAGAGUACUGGAGAGGGAACUGGAAUUUACGGUGUAGCAGUGAAAUGCGUAGAGAUCGUAAGGAAGGCCAGUGGCGAAGGCGAGUUCCUGGACAGUUACUGACGCUGAGGCACGAAGGCCAGGGGAGCAAACGGG